AAAUAGAACUUUGCAGAGAGAGUUAACAGGGCGUGAAACCGUUAAUUGGCAAACGAAUCGGAGCCACGAAGUCGUUUCGCUGAUAAGUUAAACCGAGUUCAAUUUAACAUGCAUAAAAACAUGUUGAAUGUAUUCUCGUAGUUUAACCAAAUUAUUGUAAACGUACACUGCAACCAGUUAGACAAUUGGCAAUGGGCACAGUUAUUUUAACUAGUAGUAAUAUGCUACAUCCUCGGAUGUAUUGUGUAUUGCUGAGUUAUUAUAAGUGAACUAUUACCAAAUACUGACUGGCAAAAUGAAAAUCGCUUCUAUGCGUUUUAUAAAAUACAAUUGUUUGUAUAAUAGCCUACAUGUUUAACCAUGAGGUUUAAGCUCAACAUUUUUGAAUUCAAACUUGCUUGCUACCAAUGGGGCAACUCUUGGUGCUUGUAUUGCUUUGUCUAAUCAAGUGUUGACUUGAUCUUGUGUUCUGUUUAAAUAUGAAACGAUUGGGUUAAUAUAUAAUAUAAUUUGUAAUUUAUUAGCAGUGAGUAGGUCGGCUUUCCGAACGACCCGUCUUGAAACACGGACCAAGGAGUCUAAUUAGGCAUCAAGUCGAUCGGUCUUGAAUAGGCCAGAUUAAAAGUAAUUUUACUUUUGAAGGCGUAGAGACAUGUGAUCGUUUGGUAAUUACAACCAUUACGCGCAACAUGUGCCUGUUCGUAUAGCAAUGUAGCAAUAAUUGCUGGCGGAGCAAAGAGAUGCUUGAUUGGUACCCGAAAGAUGGUGAGCUUGGGCAAAUUGAAGCCAGAGGAAACUCUGGUGGAGGAUUGUAGCGAUUCUGACGUGCAAAUCGAUCGUCAGACCUGAGUAUAGGGGCGAAAGACUAAUCGAACCAUC
rnacentral:rRNA from 1 species